CGGAGGAUCCAAGCGUUAUCCGGAUUUAUUGGGUUUAAAGGGUGCGUAGGCGGCUUUUUAAGUCAGGGGUGAAAGACGGUGGCUCAACCAUCGCAGUGCCCUUGAUACUGAAGAGCUUGAAUAUACUAGAGGUAGGCGGAAUGUGACAAGUAGCGGUGAAAUGCAUAGAUAUGUCACAGAACACCAAUUGCGAAGGCAGCUUACUAUGGUAUUAUUGACGCUGAGGCACGAAAGCGUGGGGAUCAAACAGGAUUAGAUACCCUGGUAGUCCACGCCCUAAACGAUGAACACUCGAUGUUAGCGAUAUACAGUUAGCGUCUAAGCGAAAGCGUUAAGUGUUCCACCUGGGGAGUACGCCCGCAAGGGUG
rnacentral:rRNA from 1 species